rnacentral:misc_RNA from 1 species
GUAGGUGAACCUGCGGAAGGAUCAUUAUCGAGUUAGGGUCUUCCAGGCCCGAUCUCCAACCCUGUGUCUACCUUACCACGUUGCUUCGGCGGGCCCGCCUCACGGCCGCUGGAGGACCAACCGGUCCUCUGGCCCGCGCCCGUCGAUAGCCUAACCUUAAACUCCUGAUGAAUUGUGUCGUCUGAGUAACAAAAAUAAAUAAGCAAAAAACUUUCAACAACGGAUCUCUUGGUUCUG